AGGCUUAACACAUGCAAGUCGAGCGCGUAGCAAUACGAGCGGCAGACGGGUGAGUAACGCGUGGGAAUCUACCCUUUUCUACGGAAUAACGCAGGGAAACUUGUGCUAAUACCGUAUGAGCCCUUCGGGGGAAAGAUUUAUCGGGAAAGGAUGAGCCCGCGUUGGAUUAGCUAGUUGGUGGGGUAAAGGCCUACCAAGGCGACGAUCCAUAGCUGGUCUGAGAGGA
rnacentral:rRNA from 1 species